rnacentral:lncRNA from 1 species
GAACCUGUCAUUUGAAACCAGCCGAUGACAAAGACACAAGAGAAACAAAAGAUUAAAAAGAAAAACCAAUAUUAUACCCUAACUCUUUUUAAGAAAAUGUAUGGUCUCUGGCUAAUUAAGAUUUGAGUGUGGGCAUUUUGGGUUGAGGAGGGGAACCUACAGGCUACAGGAUUUCACUCGGAGGGAGUUCAAGGACUCGGAAAGAUAAAAUGGGCUGACUGGAGCAGAAAAGGCCAUUUUCUUCAUGACAACCGAAGCAGCCAAUUUAAACUUCAAAGGGAUAAUGAAAGGUCACGUGCAUGCUGAAAUCAAUCAUCUUAUUAUCUCCUUUGAGCUACAGCUACACUGCCUUUUUAUUUGCUCCUCCCUAUAUAUGGCCAUCUGUGGCGGACCCCGAGGCGUUUCUCGGUCUCUGAACUCUUUUCUCGAGGCUGCCUCGAUUGGUCUACUGCCAUUACCGAAGAAGUCCGCGCGCACCCUUCUCCGCCUAAUUCUGUCCAAAGUCUCUGAUGAUGGAGCCAAGAAGGUGGACUUGAAUUAUUUCUUCACAAUCACCUCUCUCAAUGUAAUUAUGAAGAUGAAUGCUGGAAAGAAGCGGGUUGAAGAGGAGAAGGCUGCCUGUAUCGAUUCUGAAAAGCAGUGUAUUGAGGAUGUCUAAAAGAUAUUCCCUUCAAAUCCAGGGACCAGCUUGUUGGAUUUUUUUCCAAUUUUGAAAUGGAUUGGGUACAACGGGGAUAUUGAGGAGAGUACUGUGAUAAAGAGAGGGAUGAAUUCUUGCAGGGCUUGAUAGAAGAGGUGAAACGAAAAGAAACAAGUUCAGAGAUACAAGUAACACUGAAGAAGUGAAGGAUCAGACAACUGUGAUUGGAAAGUCUAUAUUGGCCCUCCAAAAAUCAGACCCUGAAUUGUUUACGGAUGUAGUUGUCAAGGGUACCGCAAUUCAGACGAUUGAUUUUCAUCUGUUUUUGGGUGUUUUUGGGUUUUGGUUCUUACAAAUUACAAACUUGUUUUCAACAAUUGUUUUACAAAAAGAAAGUUGAGUACAUACUGAUCUUUACAAAAUAUUAAUAAUAAUAAUUGUCUUUGACUAAUGAUGGAUAGUCGAACCUCUAAAAUAUAAUUCUUAAUUAAUUAUCACAAACAAAAUAAAUUUAUAGUAUGAUCGUGAAAUUUAGGUUGAACCUAAGAUAAAUUUCGUUUAAUUUUUCUACAUUAAUAUACUAAAAUAAAAAGGAACAGGGGAUUCAAAUAAAAAAUUAAAGAAAUAAAAUUCUGAAAAUAAAAAAAAAUUGAUAUGUUGUUAACUCAGUUUAAGGGUCCACAUAUUCAUUUAUAUAAACCUGUUGAUCAUCGAAGUAAAAUAAAUAUUCUUUUACAUCAAGCAAAUAAAUUUGAUAUCCCUUAAAGCUGAGGAAAAUCGAUGAGAUUACAAAUAAAUUAAUUAGACAAAGCUCUCUAAUUAAUUUCUUACCAUCAAGCGAAUUUAACAUUGAAAGCAAUUCUCAUUCACUCAGCAGUAGUCUUAGGAGUAAAGUCUGUGUAUUUAUUCUAAACAAACGUUUAAAAGCUUGAUAAUUUAACUUAGUUUAUUCUUCCUAAUAAAUCAAGAUAAGAGUUACAACAAUCAAAUUAAUUCUUUUGCCUUUUACUCUAGUCCCUAACAACAAUUACGGAUUGAAAGAAACUAGAAAGCAUACAUGUCAUCUCAAAAUAAUUCAAUAUACUUGAAUAACAAUCAAUAACAUAAUUUUGAACAAAGAAAAAUAAAUACUUGAAUUAAUCUGAAAGAAUUACAAUAAUAAUGUUACUUUUCACAACUUGCUAAUGAAAAUGAUUUGUAUUUCUCUUGAACCGAAAUUAGGAAUUAGUUCAUAUUUGCUGGAAAAUUGACAAAUACAAAGAAGAAAAGAAUGUUAUAGAGCCCAUGUUUUAGUUGUGUUCUGCUUUAUUUAUUCUCUUUUUUGGCUGCUGAUUUUCUUCAGAUUUCCUAAGCUAAUUAUAAGUCCUUAUAAUACUUAACUCCUUCCUACUUUAUCUAGUGCUUAAGGUUGGUUAAAUCCCUUAGAAUUUGUGUUGAAAAUAGACUCUACAAUUGUCACAACUUUGCUAUAAUAUUAACUCUGCUACAACUUAGACUUUGUUUCUGACUUGGUUUUUUGCAAUAUCCGACUAUCUAAGAUGUAUUAUUUCAGUCAUGGCAUGUUAGAAGCUUUACCUGAACCUUUCUUGGGUUCUAAGGCCCACCGUUUCUAUGUCAGAAUUUUAGCCAUAGUAAGAUGCUCGGCACUGUUAGUUUCCUCAUCAGAUCAAGAGACCAAUCUCGUCCUUCAGAUUGCGUCUGGAUUUUCACCUUCCAAACAAUUUUAUAUGACCUGAAAUCCUUCAUAAAAGUUGUAUUCCUAGAUGUGUAGAUGAUUUUGAGUUUUUGAAUCGCAUGAUUUCAAUGUCUGAGGCUAAAGAUAUAUAUGCCCAUUUGAAUCUAUAAUGUGAAAACAGAGAAUCCUGAUGCAAGAAGGAUUUCAACUCGAUUUUGCAGGUUUGAUUGGAAUUCCAAAUGAACCCGGAUUUCUGCCCAUAAAACCUUUCUGAAAAGCUUGAUAUGUGUACUUUAACUUUGAUUCAGUCCACUUUCAUAUUCUGAAAUUAAAACUCUGUGAAAAACCUAUCACAAGAAGCAAAGUCUGAAACAUAAAAAGCAGAAAUUCUUAUUUUUUAGCAAUUAAUUCACAAAGACUCUUAGGCAUGCCAAACUCAUAAAAAGAGAUACAGUAGAUUUCACUAUAGAAUGGGCAAUGUCAUUUCUGCUGAACCAUCCAGAGAGAUUUUCACCGCAAUGCCAAACACGUCAGAAGGGUCAUCGAUGGUUAUGGUUUUAAUAAAGAUGAAGUUAUCAAGGAGCAAACUAUAAUUCGAGACCAAAAGAUGCAUAACAUCAUUGAGAUUUCAUAUAAUGUUUUUUUCUGACAGACAUGGAGUUCAUUUUUUGUUUUUCUCACUACAUUCUGUAUCAAUAUAACCUGUAAAAGGGAAUGGGAAGAAACAAAUUUAAUCAGAAGAUGAAGAUAAUUUCAAUUCCUAAAGGUGGGGCAGAGCUAGAGAAAUGGAGAAGAUGCAUGGAGGAACAACUUUAAAUCCUAGAUAUUGCUUAUCAAGGAAAAAACAUACACCAGUAAUUACUUUGUGGCUGGUAGCUUGGACUGAUGGAUGGAUGGAUGCUGGAUAUAUAGUGACUGCUUGGUUGGAGUGGUUGAUAGAGAUGAACAGUGCUCGUUUGGGUCAUUUGUUAUUACUAGUCGGUGUUGAAACCAUAUUAUAAAAUGAUUUUGAAUAACAUAAUAAAUACGAAGAACACUUAAGAUGUAGGAGUGUGAUGAAUUUAUGAAAUGAGAAGCAAUGUAUAUGACUCUUCGCUGUUUUAUCUGGUACAAGUUAUGUUGUAUACGUACAGUUGGUAGACAUGUAUUUUCUUAAUUGAUUAAUGAGGAUUUAAGUUAUUGCUAAUAAAUAUUUUAUUUGAUAUAAAAUUUGGAAGCUAUUAAAUUGGAGCAACUUUUGUCUGCUAAAAAUGACAAUACUUACCUACUAGCCCCGUGUCGUGGCUCGAACUAAAUUCUUUGUCUGUCAACUUAAAAAAAAUACAAAUAUUGGUGAUGUUUUUUUUUUUUAAAAAAAAUCUGAUGCUGACCUCAAUUUGAUUGAUUAUCUAAUAAAAAAUAUCUUAUACCAAAAGACACAAUGAAAACCUUAAUACCUAAAAUUAUAGCUCGAAAAUGACAAAGAAAAUUCAGGAAUUAUUAACACCAACUAUUUAUAUAAAGGUUAAAAGUGAUCUAAUCAAAAUAAACACAAAUUUAAACAUGAAUUAUUCGAUGAAAUUUAUACACAAUCCAACAAUUAAAUCUAAAAUAAUAAUUGUUUUUAUCAGGAUUUGAUAUGUAUAACUUUUUCUUAAAUUUUUUUUAAAAUUUUUAUCUGAUCUAUCUGAGCUACACACACAACACAUUCCAUAUCAAAAUAGAAGAAGCAAUGGUACCUUAAUAUUCAAAUAACUACAAGAAUAUGUUUGCAGAAAAUCGAAACCAAAAAAUAUCUUGUAUCUUUACUCUUACAAUCGAUGGAGAAAAGGGCAAGCUUGUAUGAUGUAGAAGAAAGCACAAUAAGGAUAACAAUACACGUAGAACGAUAGAUAGUUGGUCGACAUAGGUUUAUCACAAUAAAACCCUAAAUAGUAAUUUUAUUUUUGAAAUAAACUCUAUUAAGUUCACAUUUUUAAGAGAUUUAGAAUCUUUUAAAUAGGUUAGAAAUAUCAACCUUAACAUAAAAAUAAAAUUAUAAUCCUAAAGCAAAACAAAAACAUAUAAAAUCUAUAAUUAUAUAAAUCUAGAAAUUAUCAAGAAAAAAUAACAAAAUUAGCUUAAACAACUUCUCUAUAACCUAAUUUGAGGUCUUCCAGGUGGAAGCUGGGUGGGAGCUGGUACAAGUCUACUGAUCUCACUAUAUAACUAAGCCACAAAAAAUCAUCCAAAAAUAUUUGUAUUAAUUCAAUAGUCAAAUCAAAAGUUAUCAUGUUUUAUUGCUAGGCUGUUGAUUUGACAUGACUAGACUUACUUUAAAUAUAUAUAUACCAGACUAUUUAUAUAAUCUGUUGGUAGUAUAUAUACUAGACUAUCAUUAUAUUAUGAGGUUUUUAUUUAAUUUAUCUUUUAAUAUUAGGUUGAGUUUUUUCUUUCUUUCGGUUUUUUUUGCCUUUUAUUUUUUCUUAAAAAAAUCUUUUGUUUUUUUUUUAAUUUUAUAAUUUAAUAUGGGGUUCUUAUUUAAUUUUAUCUUUUAGUAUUGAGUUGAUGAUAAAUUAAAUUUUUUAUAUUUUUUUUAUCAUAUAAUAAAAUAAAAAAAUUAAUUCGAGCUAAUGUAGUUCAUAACCAGAUCAUGAGUUUAGCAAGUUAACUAAGAUUAACAUAACCUUUUUUUUUUGUCACUUGAAUUUGGCUAGUCGAUAAGUUUAUGUUGAGAAAACUCCCAUGUAAUUUAGUUUUAAACUCAGUUUAGAUAAGGAGUCGGAUUAAGAGGUUUUAAGGCCGCGUUUAAUAACUAUAAAAAAAUAAUUUUAUGUGUUCUUAACAUUUGUUUGAUAUAAUUUAUUGGCACAAUUGUUCAAUUUUCUUGCCCAAAGAUUUUUUUUUAAUUAACAUGGGUGUCCAGGCCAGCUUGUGCGCACCUCGACUAAUCUCAUUGGUCCUAAAGUUAACGAUCAUGUAAGUCUCCAAUGAUUAUCAUAUUAGCAACCCUGUGGUUUGAAAAGACUUAAUAAGUCUAUUGAUUGUUGUUGCACCAGAUAUCAUGUUUGACUUCAAAAUUGACUUGAUUUAUGUUUUAGUGCCCCUUAACACCCUCCCACUCUCUAUUUUAUUUCUUAAUAAAUUAAAAAAUAAUUACUCUAGUUUUUAUAAGAAUCUGAAAUCCUGCCCUUGCUCCUAAAAAAACUAAAAAGAAAAGAAAAGAAAAAGGCUCAGGUGAUGAUCCUGAUCAUCGACCAAGAACCUGUCAUUUGAAACCAGACGAUGACAGAUACGAGAAAGUACAAAAGAUUAAAAAGAAAAACCAAUAUUAUACCCUAACUAUUUUUCCGAAAAUGUAUGGUCUCUGGCUAAUUAAGAUUUGAGUGUGGGCAUUUUGGGUUGAGGAAGGGAACCUACAGGCUACAGGAUUUCACUCGGAGGGAGUUCAAGGACUCGAUCGGAAAGAUAAAAUGGGCUGACUGGAGCAGAAAAGGGAAAAGAAUCUCCUCAAAACGCUACCCAUCUGACCAGUAGGUUUUUUCCAAGAAAUUAACAGCUCAGUCCGGCAAGCUAUGGCCCGCAACAGAUGGUCAGUAAGCUUCUUUCUUCGUGUUCAAUCUAUGACGAUCCAUAGGAUGCCAAUUACCGUACGUGAUCAGUGGGAAGAGUUUUUAUGCUGCUCAAGAGUCCUGAACUCGGGAUUAUAGCUGGUGGGUGAAUGUGAAGUUGUCUUUGAUGCAGCUGGCAAGUCCAAAUGCGCACUUGGUAGAAGAGUCCGAUGUGUCAUUGAUGAGACCCUUCGUUCGUAUCCUCUCCAUCACCACUUUUGCUGCCUCAUGCUCCUCCUGGAGACUGUAUCCAUGUUUUUAACCCACGGAUAAGAGGAUUCUUUGCAAUCAACUUUAAAUCCUAGAUAAUAUUGCUUAUCAAGGAAAAAAAACAUACACCAUUAAUAAUUACUUUGUGGCUGGUAGCUUGGACUGAUGGAUGGAUAUAUAAUGACUUCUGGGUUGGAAUGGUUGGUAGAGAUGGAACAGUGCUCAUGUUGGUGUUGAAACCAUAAUGUAAAUGAUUUUGAAUACCAUAAUAAAUACAAAGAAAUUUUGAGAGUGUUUGAAAACGCGGGCCAACCCGUGUUUUUAAAAAAAUUAAUUUUUUUUUAUUUUCUUAAAAAUUAUUUUUUUAUGUUUUAGAUCGUUUUGAUGCGUUGAUCUUAAAAAUAAUUUUUUAAAAAAAAAAAUAUCAUUUGAUGUAUUUUAACAUGAAAAGUAUUUUAAAAAGUAACUGCAAUCACACUCUCAAACAAACCCUUAGAUGAAGGAAUGUAUCUUUUCUCUUGUUGGUUUCUUAUAAUUUAAAUUGUCGGACGGAUGGGACAUUAAGCAAUCAUAUAAUUAUCACUAAAUGAUAUGAUACUAAUCAGUCCUUAAUUGUUAAACUCAUAUAAUUAUCACUUUGAUCAACCAUAAAUUAUGUCUAUUUUAUAAUUUAUUUUCUAACAGGAGUUAAUUAUCAAGAUUUAUUUUUCAAUUAAUUAAGGUAUUUUCCCCCCUCACUUGUAGCUUGAAGUACUCUGAACUCUAGUGGCUAAAGAAGGAAUACACCAUCCUAACUAUUACACCAAUACCUCAAGUAAACUAUUCAAGGAAUUUGAUUACUUUUUCAUUAUAAUUUAAUUUCUCCUUCUAAUCUAUUGUAAUUACUUUAUUUAACUAUAUAUUGCUUUGGUGUUCGGAAUCCAUCCUUGUUUUCUACAUAAAUUUUUCACUCUCAGUUUCUUACAAUUUAUUAACUUAGUAUACCUUAUCAAGUGUAAUUGUCAUUAAUUACAAUUCUGGCAUUAAUUAAUUGACAUUAAUUAAUCAUUUAAAAAUUAUUGCAUUAAAUCAUGGCUUAUUAAUUAACGAAUUAUCUUCAGGGCUCGUGAGAUUAGUCGAGAUGCGUGUAAGUUGGUCCGGACACCCAUAUUAAUUAAAAAAAAAUUAACAAAUUAUAACACAUUUGUUCCUUUUUCAAUGAUGAAACAAUAUAUCCAUCAAUUUUUUUUUUUUAAUUCUUUGCACGUGAAAUAACCUUUCAAUCAUCUUCGCCAUUAUUAAUUCGUUAAUUUAAUAAACACAAAUUUUCAUUAUUUCCAUUUUAUUUUCUUGAGCAAUUCUCAUUUGAUUUCACAAUUGAGACCACCUGCCAGUCUUUGAGUUGGAAUCUGGCAGUUGUGACUUCUUACUGUCAUCGUCAAAUGCAUCAAGAAAACAAUUUUAAAAAUAUUAUUUAGAUGUAACCAUGUAAAAAUUAAAAAUCUCUUCCCUUGUCUCGUAUCUAUCUAUUUAAACCUUGUUCUCCACCCACAGCAACCCACCAUGCUUACAAAGAAUUUGUACUUCACCAUGAACUACAUGUACUACUGCCUUGCUUUCUUCCUCUCUAGCUUUCUUGUAUUCAAACUUGUAUUCCAACGUUCCCGCAACUUACCACCAAGUCCUUUCGGUUUUCCGAUCAUAGGCCAUCUCCACCUUGUCUCGAAGCCACCAAUGCAUAAAGUGCUAGCAAUUCUUUCAAAUAAAUGCGGUCCAGUUUUUACUCUUAAAUUAGGCAGCAGGAACAUUGUUGCUGUUUGUUCUUUAUCAGCUGCUGAAGAAUGUUACAUCAAGAAUGAUAUAGUUUUUGCCAACAGGCCUCAGAGCAUAUUUGUCCAUUAUUGGAGCUACAACUACGCUGCCUUUUUAUUUGCUCCGUAUGGCCAUCUCUGGCGGACCCUGAGGCGUUUCUCGGUCACUGAACUGUUUUCUCGAAGCUGCCUCGAUCGGUCUGCUGCCAUUAGCGAAGAAGUCCGCACCCUUGUCCGCCUGAUUCUGUCCAAAGUCUCUGAUGAUGGAGCCAAGAAGGUGGACUUGAACUAUUUCUUCACAAUCACCUCUCUCAAUGUAAUUAUGAAGAUGAAUGCUGGAAAGAAGUGGGUGGAAGAGGAGAAAGCUGCCUGUAUCGAUUCAGGAAAGCAGUGUAUUGAGGAUGUCCAAAAGAUAUUCCCUUCAAAUCCAGGCACCACCGUGUUGGAUUUUUUUCCAUUUUUGAAAUGGUUUGGGUACAGGGGGGAGGAGGAGAGUGUGAUAAAGGUGUACAAAGAGAG